CAAUUGCAAUCAAGUUCUGCUUUUUAGGUUC
rnacentral:piRNA from 1 species